ensembl:lncRNA
GUACGAGCACCAGACCUUCCUCAACGUCAAUAUUUUCAUACUUUUGAUACUCUUUCAAGCUGGAAUUCACGCUUUCGCUUUUUUUCUCCAACUCCCAUUUCCAGAUCUAGGACACGGUCAUCCGUGGUGUAAUAAAAAAGUAACAGGCACGAGAAAAAAGUAACAAGGAGACCGCAUCAGAUAACCAGAGUGGAGUACAGUAGCCAACACCACGGCGGGAGCCCGGUAGUGAAUGGAGCCGUGCGGGGCUUAUGGCAGAGGGGUGUUCGUAUAAUAAUGGGACACGGAGUGGCUCUCCCAGAUGAACCUUCGAAAUGGUAAAAAUAAGGAACGAAAUGUCCCAUCUCGGAAAAUAAGAAAAAUGGGAUGAUCAAGAUAGACUAGACCUACUCACUGAUAGGACUAUCACUGAGGCAAGGUGCCGGACCGGGGCAUCACGACCUGAUGGAUGUAUCUAAGUACAUCGUCACCUUUCCCUCAUUCUCCCUCGUAGCGGACAGCUCUUGUCUCCCCCAGCGGAAAAGGACCUCUGAAGUAUGGAUUUGUUCUGCUGAUAUCCCAAUGACCCCUACCGCCACCACCACAGCACUGGCACCACUAUGGUUGAAGUAGAUGCGAAGUUUCAUAGUGACUUUCGCCUCCCCCUGGUCCAUUUUUUGUCUGUCUUUUCCAAACCAGGCGUCAAAACAAUAAAGUGUCAUUUCCUAAAGAAGCCGUG